rnacentral:rRNA from 1 species
AGUGAACGCUGGCGGUAGGCCUAACACAUGCAAGUCGAACGGCAGCACAGUAAGAGCUUGCUCUUACGGGUGGCGAGUGGCGGACGGGUGAGGAAUACAUCGGAAUCUACUUUUUCGUGGGGGAUAACGUAGGGAAACUUACGCUAAUACCGCAUACGACCUACGGGUGAAAGCAGGGGAUCUUCGGACCUUGCGCGAUUGAAUGAGCCGAUGUCGGAUUAGCUAGUUGGCGGGGUAAAGGCCCACCAAGGCGACGAUCCGUAGCUGGUCUGAGAGGAUGAUCAGCCACACUGGAACUGAGACACGGUCCAGACUCCUACGGGAGGCAGCAGUGGGGAAUAUUGGACAAUGGGCGCAAGCCUGAUCCAGCCAUACCGCGUGUGUGAAGAAGGCCUUCGGGUUGUAAAGCCCUCUUGUUGGGAAAGAAAAGCAGCAGGUUAAUACCCCGCUGUUCUGACGGUACCCAAAGAAUAAGCACCGGCUAACUUCGUG